rnacentral:tRNA from 1 species
GUAUAGCUCAGGUGUAGAGCGCUCGCUUUGCAUGCGAGAAGUCUGGGCUUCGAUUCCCCAUAC